rnacentral:piRNA from 1 species
UCCUGGCGUAAGUCUUGAAGAUGGACCCAA